rnacentral:rRNA from 1 species
AUUGAACGCUGGCGGCAUGCUUUACACAUGCAAGUCGAACGGUAACAGGCCUUCGGGCGCUGACGAGUGGCGAACGGGUGAGUAAUGCAUCGGAACGUGCCCAGUCGGGGGGGAUAACUAUCCGAAAGGAUAGCUAAUACCGCAUACGAUCUGCGGAUGAAAGCGGGGGACCUUCGGGCCUCGCGCGAUUGGAGCGGCCGAUGUCAGGUUAGGUAGUUGGUGGGGUAAAGGCUCACCAAGCGAACGAUCUGUAGCUGGUCGGAGAGGACGACCAGCCACACUGGGACUGGGAGACGGCCCAGACUCCUACGGGAGGCAGCAGUGGGGAAUUUUGGACAAUGGGGGCAAGCCUGAUCCAGCAAUGCCGCGUGCAGGAAGAAGGCCUUCGGGUUGUAAACUGCUUUUGUACGGAACGAAACGGCCCUGGUUAAUACCUGGGGCUAAUGACGGUACCGUAAGAAUAAGCACCGGCUAACUACGUGCCAGCCGCCGCAGUAAAAC